rnacentral:rRNA from 1 species
UACGAAGGGGGCUAGCGUUGUUCGGAAUUACUGGGCGUAAAGCGCACGUAGGCGGACAUUUAAGUCAGGGGUGAAAUCCCAGAGCUCAACUCUGGAACUGCCUUUGAUACUGGGUGGCUAGAGUCCGGAAGAGGAGAAUGGAAUUCCUGGUGUAGCGGUGAAAUGCGCAGAUAUCAGGAAGAACACCCGUGGCUAAGGCGGUUCUCUAGUACGGUACUGACGCUGAGACGCGAAAGCGUGGGAGCGAACAGG